rnacentral:rRNA from 1 species
UAAAGCGCGCGUAGGUGGUUUGUUAAGUUGGAUGUGAAAGCCCUGGGCUCAACCUAGGAACUGCAUCCCAAAACUAACUCACUAGAGUACGAUAGAGGGAGGUAGAAUUCAUAGUGUAGCGGUGGAAUGCGUAGAUAUUAUGAAGAAUACCAGUGGCGAAGGCGGCCUCCUGGAUCUGUACUGACACUGAGGUGCGAAAGCGUGGGUAGCGAACAGGAUUAGAUACCCUGGUAGUCCACGCCGUAAACGAUGACAACUAGCUGUUAGGAGACUAUGUCUUUUAGUGGCGCAGCUAACGUUUUAAGUUGUCCGCCUGGGGAGUACGGCCGCAAGGCUAAAACUCAAAUGAAUUGACGGGGACCCGCACAAGCAGUGGAUCAUGUGGUUUAAUUCGAUGCAACGCGAAAAACCUUACCUACUCUUGACAUACUUGGAAGCUCUUGUAAUGAGAGUGUGCUUUUAAGAACCAAGAUACAGGUGCUGCAUGGCUGUCGUCAGCUCGUGUCGUGAGAUGUUCCGUUAAGUCGGAUAACGAGCGCAACCCUUACCCUUAUUUGCCAGCGAUUCGGUCGGGAACUAUAAGGGGACUGCCGGUGAUAAACCGGAGGAAGGUGAGGACGACGUCAAGUCAUCAUGGCCCUUACGAGUAGGGCUACACACGUGAUACAAUGGGAGAGACAGACGGACGCUAAGCCGCGAGGUGGUGCUAAUCCUAGAAACUCUCUCGUAGUCCGGAUUGGAGUCUGCAACUCGACUCCAUGAAGUUGGAAUUGCUAGUAAUCGCGGAUCAGCAUGCCGCGGUGAAUACGUUCUCGGGUCUUGUACACACCGCCCGUCACACCAUGGAAGUGGAUUGCACCAGAAGUAGAUAGUCUAACCUUAGGGAAGGCGUUUACCACGGUGUGCUUCAUGACUGGGGUGAAGUCGUAACAAGGUAACCAAGGG